UGAACCAUGGCCUAGUGGUUAGAGCGUCCGCCUUGGAUGCGGGAGGCCAUGGGUUCGAUCACCGGUCGAGUCAU